CGGACGGGUGAGUAACACGUGGAUAACCUACCUAUAAGACUGGGAUAACUUCGGGAAACCGGAGAUAAUACCGGAUAAUAUUUUAAACCGCAUGGUUCAAAAGUGAAAGACGGUCUUGCUGUCACUUAUAGAUGGAUCCGCGCUGCAUUAGCUAGUUGGUAAGGUAACGGCUUACCAAGGCAACGAUGCAUAGCCGACCUGAGAGGGUGAUCGGCCACACUGGAACUGAGACACGGUCCAG
rnacentral:rRNA from 1 species